rnacentral:rRNA from 1 species
UACGUAGGGCGCAAGCGUUGUCCGGAAUUAUUGGGCGUAAAGAGCUCGUAGGCGGCUUGUCACGUCGGGUGUGAAAGCCCGGGGCUUAACCCCGGGUCUGCAUUCGAUACGGGCUAGCUAGAGUGUGGUAGGGGAGAUCGGAAUUCCUGGUAUAGCGGUGAAAUGCGCAGAUAUCAGGAGGAACACCGGUGGCGAAGGCGGAUCUCUGGGCCGAUACUGACGCUGAGGCGCGAAAGCGUGGGGAGCAAACAGG